rnacentral:lncRNA from 1 species
UGCUUUUGCUUUGUCUUCGGAACACUUCACGCCAGACAGCUACAACGACGAUUUGCACCUGCUCGCCGCGUUUGGGAUACCCGCGAAAAAGCUGAGGCUGCGGCCAGAUGCGAUGCCGACCGCGUUCGCGCACCGACCCAUCCGGCAGGCAGUGUCCCAUCCAAACGGCAGCCUUGUUAUUUAUUAUUGUUAUUUUUUAGCGAUAUCGGGUGCAAUAAAGCAAGUUCAAGUAAAGGUUCAGCCAAGGCGUACAUCGCGCAAAAUUUCGCUGCGCGGACAUGC